AUAGCAUAAACAAUUCUUCUCAAGUAUCAGUACUAUUUGAAAAGGUUUGAAAUAAUUUUGUAUUGCUUGCAUUUCUUAGUUGAUAAGAAUCGACAUUUAUACAAAUUACAAAUGAAUGAAUAUGGUAAGAAAUUAUAAUAGAAUCAAUUUACAAUAAAUGACAAAAUAAUAGGAGAAGAUUAUGGAUCUUGAAAUAUCUCUUAAUAUCCUCCUUCAAACUGAUGACUCAGGUUGAGUCAGUAGUUUGUCUCGAAGAUGAAGAAAUGUUGGAGACAACAGUGGCUUUGUAAGUAUCAGCAAGUUGAUUGGUGGAAGAUAUGUAACGAAUGGAGAUAUCUUUGCGAAGAACUUUUUUCCGAACAAAGUGGUAAUCAUUCUCAAUGUGUUUGGUUCGAGCAUGAAAUACUGGAUUAUGAGCUAGAGAUAUAGCGGAAACAUUAUCACACCAUAAUGUUGGUGAGGUCUUGAGAGGAACACAUAGAUCACAAAGAAGUUGUCGAAUCCAGUAAAGAUCGACAGUAGUAGUGGCAAGUGAGCGAUAUUUUGCUUCUGUGGAGGAAUAGGAUACUGUAGGUUGCUUUUUAGAAGACCAAGUAAUUGGAUUAGACCCAAGGAAGGCGAUGAAUCCAGAGGUGAAACGUCAAUCAGAAGUGUCACCUGCCCAAUCAGAGUAAAAAAAGGUCUGUAGAAAGAACAAACCUUUUUGAAAUUUUAUUCCAAGGGGUGAAGUACCUCGUAGAUAUUUGAGGAUGCGUUUAACUGCUGAGAAGUGAAUGACAAUUGGUUUGUGCAUAAAUUGACUAACACGGUUUACAAAGAACGCAAUAUAAGGACGAGUAAAUGUAAGGUAUUGCAAGAAACCAACUAGUUUGUGAUAGAGGGAUGAAUCAUUAAAGGGUGGAGCAGUUGUAUAAAGAUCAAGAGAAGUAGACAUGUGUGUGACACAAGAUUUUGCAGAGAUCAUUCCUGAUGUGUGAAGAAGGUCACUGAGGUAUUUCACCUGGUUAACAAAUAUGCCAUCAGUAGAGGAAUGAAUUUGAAGACCAAGAAAGUAUUUUAAGGGGCCAAGGUCAGAUAUUUGGAAUUCAAGGGCCAAUUGGUUUUUGAGAAGAGAGAUGUAUGAGGAGUCAGGACCAAUGACAAUGAUGUCAUCUACAUACAAAAGUAAGUAAGUGAGAAGAUUUGACUGGUCGAAUGAAUAACAAAGGUUCAACGGUAGAGGCAACAAAAUCCAAAGUAAAUAAAUAAGAUGUAAAGCGUUCAAACCAAGUGCGGGGGGCUUGUUUGAGACCAUAAAGACUCUUGUGUAGGAGAUACACGUGAUUUGGAUGUGUUUUAUCCUGAAAACCAGUAGGUUGAGACAUGUACAUAGUUUCUUGGAGAAUGCCAUGAAGAAAGGCAUUUUUUACAUCUAAUUGGGUUAAGGAUCAAUUGUAUUGAGCAACAAGAGCAAGAAUUCUGCGUAUGGUAGGUUUCUUAACAACAUGAUUAAAUGUUUCAUCAAAAUCAAAACCUUGUACCUGGUGAUAACCUUUUACAACUAGUCUUGCUUUGUGACGAGCAACAGAGCCAUCAGGAUUAUAUUUUGUUCUAAAAACCCAUUUACAACCAACAACAUUCAUAGAUGGAAGUUGAGGUACUAAGGACCAAGUACCUUGUGCUUGAAGAGCAUUGAAUUCCUCACACAUCGCAGUUUGCCAUUCGAGAUACUUUGAGUCUUCUGUGUAUGAUGUGGGAGUCAAGAGAGCAGAUGUGAUGUGAAAAGCCUUUGGCUUAAAAAUACCUGAUUUUGCUCAAGUUUGCAUAGCAUGAGUGUUUCGAGGAGGAGAUGAAACAUGUAAGGUGGUUCGGCAACAUUUAAUUCAUUUCCUGUAUCGACUAUAGAUGAAAUAUUCAAAGACUGAUCAUUGACAUUAAUAUCCAUAAAAGAUGAGUGAGUAAUGUCAACAACGGGAGGGUGAGGAGGUGGGGUUUGGAUAUUGAGAAUGGAGAUAGAAUUUGAGGGUGUAUGAUGUGGAAUGUUUACUAAGGUAAGUAAUAGGCUUGGAUCAGAAUUAGAUAGAUGUUGAGAUGGGGAAGAGGUGGUGGAAUUUGCAUAAGUAAAGAUGUUUUCAUAAAAGAUGAUGUGUCGGGAAACUAUGGUUUGUUUGGUUAAUGGGUUGUAACAAAUAUAGCCUUUGAAAUUGUGAGGAUAGCCUAAAAAUAUGUGUUGUGUGGUUUUGGGUUCAAGUUUGUGUUUGGUGUAAGACUUGAGAAGGGGAUAACAUGCACAUUCAAAAACUUUUAAAUGAUGCAAAUCAAAAGUAUAACCAAAAAGCAUUUCAAAUGGUGAUGACAUUAUAAGUGAGGAAGAAGACAUUCAAUUAAUAAGAAAAAGUGCAGUAGAGAAAGCAUAAGGCCAAAAUUCAAGAGGAAUAGAUGAAUGAAAAAUUAGAGGCAUUGCAGUUUCAACGAUGUGACGAUGUUUACGUUCGGCGACACCGUUUUUUUUUAGGAGUAUAAGGACAUGAUUUUUGGUGAGAAAUACCUUUGGAAUCAAAAAAGGAUUGUAAGAUAGUGUUGCAAAAUUCACCACCAUUAUCUGAUCGAAAGUUUUUCAUUUUUUGAGAUAUUCGAUUUUCAAUAAAGGGAACAAAUUUUUGAAUAAUAGAUGAAACAUCAGAUUUGUAAGCAAUAGGAAAGAGCCAAGUAAAUUUGCUAAAAUUGUCAAUAAAACUAACAUAAUAUCGAUUUUCAUUAGAAGAAAUUAUUGGAGAGGGUCCCUAUACAUUGCUAUGAAUAAGAUCAAGUGGUGUAAGAGAAGUUGAUAAAGACAUUGGAAAAGGUAAUUUUGUCAUGUUUGCUUUUAAACAACUAAUGCAAUUGCAAGUAGAAAUGGAAGAGCACAUAGAUAGACCAAUGCGAGAUAAAAUAGAAUUAAGGAUUUUUGAAGCAAGAUGACCAAAACGAAAAUGCCAUAAUGACUAAUCUUCCUGUUUUGCAUGGAAAUUAAAAGAUUUGGAAUGCAUGGUAGGUGUGGAUAAAGUAGAAGUACUGGGAAUAGGAUAGAGACCAUUGAUGCUUUCACCAAUAUAGAGAGUUCGGCUAGUGACUUUUUCCUGAAAGAGGAACCAAUCAGUAUCAAAAAUAAAAAUACAGAAAGUUUAGGAGUGUGGAGUAUUUUGGAGAGAUUGAAGGUAUGAGAGAGAGUUGAGAGUUUACCACUGUUGGUAUUUUUAAUAUGUAAAGGUUGACCAUUACCCAUGUGAUAGUUUCCUCACCAUUAUAAUUGUUGGACAGGUUGAGAUUUGCCAACUCAUUUGUCAUAUGAAAAUUGCAUCCACCGUUAGAUAACAAAAAAUUAUUAGUAUUUUCAUCAAAGGUUUGAGAAUGCAUAGAAUUUAUCGCCAUUGCUGAUAAUUGAGAGGGUGGAUGUCAGCCUUGAUAAGAGAAAUUCAUAUGAUUAUAGCAAUCGAAAGCCACACAUCCUGGAUUUUGACACAUUUGACAAAAAAACAUGGCCAUUAGAUCCAAAAUUUGUUUCAGGCCCAAAAUUGGGUCCAUGUGAAGGAGAGGACCCAAUGAUGCCACGUUGGUUGGAAUGGAAUGGUCUGAAGUUGGAUGUUGGGCGAAAUGGGCCAUGGUUGUUAUUAGGCUGAAGUUGAUGAGUAUUUCCAUUUCCACGUGAUCCUAUAUUAAAAUUGGAGCGAGAUAAUUAGGAGGAUUUGGGGAAGAAUGAAAAUUAGGGUUACCGAUAGAAUGAGAACGUCGUCCUCCUCGUUCACGGCUGCUGCGAUGUUGAGAUGGUUGGAAUGCAACCAUGGCUGUGGGAAUGGCUUCAAUGGCUGAAGUUUUGGCCAUAGUUGAUUCCUCCAAAAUGAGUAGAGUGUGAAGUUCUUCAAGGGAGAUGGUGCUGUUGCGGGUUCGAAUUGAUGUACGAAAGGCAUUGAAGGCAGUGGGGAGCCCAUUUAGGGUGUGAACGGGAGUCUCUUCAUCUUCAAGAGAGACGGAUGUGGCGGCAAGUUUAUCGACAAGGGCUUUAAUACGAGAGGUAUAUUGUUUAAUGAUUUCAGAAGGAGUUUUUUUUAUGGUGUAGAGUGCUGACCUGAAAUCAAGAAUGUUAGAUCUGGUAUUGGAGAGUAGUGUUUCUCUAGAGACAACCACAGUUCUUUAGAGGAGACAGAGCCAACAACGUGGGCAAGGGCAAAAGAUGAUAAAGUGGCAUUUAUCAAGGUAAUAAGAGCUUUGUCACGGGAUAGCCAUUGGAGAUAUUCAGGGUUGAUUUCGGGAUUAGUGCCAACUAUUGACGAUGAUAAAUUUUAUGGAGGACAGGGAAGGGAAUCAUCAAUGUGUCCAAAGAGGGAAUGGGCUUUGAGAAUGGAGGAAACUUGAUAUUUCCAUAAAACAUAAUUUUUAAAGUCUAGUUGGAUAGGUACAAGAUUGCAGAUGUUGGAUAGCAAGAAAAGAGUAGAGGUGGGAACAUAUGGAUUUGGUGAGGAUUCGAGGACAGGAUUGGAAGAUUCAAUAGGAUCAGAUUGUGAGCUAGGAGUGGCCAUUGAAAUGAUAUAUGAGUAUGACUUCGAUAUCAACUGACGGACCCAUGUAAAAGAUUGAUCCUUCUCAUCAUGUUCAUGCUUUAGUAAGCUCUUUAUCUCAUUUAGAAAAUAUUACGCGUAAUUGAAACCAAAUCAGUAACCUUAUUUGGAAAUACAAAGUUUAGCCACUUUUUGGAUCUUAAUAUCGUCUUUAUUGGGCCACUCAUCCACUACUUAUUACUAAGGGAGGUGGAAGAUGAAGGGAAGGAUUAUAUCAGUUUCAUGAUAGGGAGAAUUCUGUGUACUUUUGGUAGAAGAGAGUUUAACAUCAUAACGGGUCUAUGAAGUUCUCCAACAAAAUCUAUUCAAUUGGUUGGGAAUAGUAGGUUGUUGGACAAGUUCUUCGAAGAAAAAAAAGUCUAUUUAUGUAAAUGACUUAGAUGACACAUUUAUGGAAUACGAGGAGGAUGACGAUGACAUAGUUAAAAAUUAGCUUUAGUAUACUUUAUAGAGCUGUCAUUGUUAGGAAAAGAUAGGCUGACUUUGUGGACCAAACAUUAUUUAGGAUUGCAGAUGAUUGGAACACAUUUGACAAUUAUGAUUGGGGAGGGUUAGUUUUUGGACACAUGUUUUGUGCCUUAGAACGAGCCUUGGAUAUGCAACAUGCCAAGGGAAAGAAGAAGUCAACUAAGACAAAAUAUACUAUCAUGGGAUUUUCGCAUGCAUUACAGGUUUGGGCAUAUGAGUCUAUACCAACCAUUACUAGAAACUUUUCACUGGAAAAAAUCCAAGGAAUUUUUCAGAGACUUGUUCAUGUGUCGUCGGUGGUUGGCGAAUGAGCAUUUGGAUGCACUCUUUCUUCUCAUUCGCUUCAAGAUUAAGACAACCAUGAUACUUUCUGCUAAAAACUUCACAACUAUACACACACUCUUCAUGCGACUAUUAGUUGCGAAGUGGCCCGAAUAGCAAGAAUGUAUUAAAGAGAAUCGACCGUUUGACUGGAAGGAGGAGUAUCGGUUGGUAGACUAUGUUGUCGGAUCAAAACAAAACUUUCAAGAUCCUUGGACAAGUGUUGAUUACAUUUACUCUUCAUUCAAUAUCCAUAUCAAUCAUUAGGUUCUAUUAUGCUUGGACUUGGUAAGUUGUCAAGUCAAGGUAUGGGAUUCUCUUGAGUCGCUUACGAGUGUCGAAGAGAUGAGAAGCAUGUUAAUGUCGAUUCGAGAGAUGGUGCCAAAUUUACUAGAUACUACUAGAUUCUUUGCUAGGAGAGGUGGAUCAUCAACACACAAGGAACCUUGGCCACUUGUCAUUGUUGACUCCAUUCCACUGCAACACAACAAUAGUGAUUGUGGUGUAUUUACCAUCAAGUAUUUUGAAUACGAAGCUUCUGGUUUAGAUGUAACUACAUUAAGUCAAGAAAACAUGUCCUACUUUAGAAAACAAUUGACAUUUCAAUUAUGGACCAACACUCCUAUGUUUUGACUUUUAGUUGCAAAAUUUGAAGGAAUUUUAUAUCAUAUAUGUUGCGAACUAUGUACAUAAAUCGAUUGAUGUAAAGGAAUGAGUACCAUUGUUAUUUUAUGGUCUGAAAAUUUUAUUUUAUUCUUUUGGAAAACUUUUCAAGUGUGUAGUAUGUACAAUCCCAUAAAUAUCAUUUGAGAUGUGGUUAUCUUGCAUUUUGAUAAUAUGAAAACUACACAAGUGAUUUGUUUUUUGUAGGAGCUACUGCUAUGGAUUCUGGAAGAAAAGCUUUAGAGCUUCUAAGUUUGGUUAGAGAAAGAAAUGGAACCAGCCAUAAUUCGCCUAUUUCCCUGAAGAUCAUCAAGAGGUUAAAGUUAAUUUAGCUGAGUUUUGGUUGAAUCUGAACUGAGUUCGAAUCUGAAAAAGAUUUCCAAGCAAUGGAUGUUGGAAUUGUCUUUCAAACGGAUUCUCGUGUGGAUGUUAAUGAUGUUUUUUAGUAAAAAUGUAAUCAACGAGGGGAUCAUGAAAUUCAAAGGUUAUGUAAUUGAAAGUAAGAUCAUUCAAUGGAGAAUAAAUUUGAUUGUAUUCAUGGAUUUCUAAUAAGAACUUGUCAUGGUCAAGUUGACAAUUAUCAUCAA